CACCUGCCACGGCCAACGCCGGGGGGCGUCGACCAGACUGAACAGGGGCUGGUCAGGCGCGUGGCAGGGUCGCCUGGGGCCGGCAAUUCCGGGGGGAAUUGCCGGCCCUUUUUUA
rnacentral:antisense_RNA from 1 species